AGAUUAAGUUAUUAAGGGCGCACGGUGGAUGCCUUGGCACUAGAAGCCGAUGAAGGACGUUACUAACGACGAUAUGCUUUGGGGAGCUGUAAGUAAGCUUUGAUCCAGAGAUUUCCGAAUGGGGAAACCCAGCAUGAGUUAUGUCAUGUUAUCGAUAUGUGAAUACAUAGCAUAUCAGAAGGCACACCCGGAGAACUGAAACAUCUUAGUACCCGGAGGAAGAGAAAGAAAAUUCGAUUCCCUUAGUAGCGGCGAGCGAAACGGGAAGAGCCCAAACCAACAAGCUUGCUUGUUGGGGUUGUAGGACACUCUAUACGGAGUUACAAAGGACGACAUUAGACGAAUCAUCUGGAAAGAUGAAUCAAAGAAGGUAAUAAUCCUGUAGUCGAAAAUGUUGUCUCUCUUGAGUGGAUCCUGAGUACGACGGAGCACGUGAAAUUCCGUCGGAAUCUGGGAGGACCAUCUCCUAAGGCUAAAUACUCUCUAGUGACCGAUAGUGAACCAGUACCGUGAGGGAAAGGUGAAAAGCACCCCGGAAGGGGAGUGAAAUAGAACCUGAAACCGUGUGCUUACAAGUAGUCAGAGCCCGUUAAUGGGUGAUGGCGUGCCUUUUGUAGAAUGAACCGGCGAGUUACGAUUUGAUGCAAGGUUAAGCAGUAAAUGUGGAGCCGUAGCGAAAGCGAGUCUGAAUAGGGCGUUUAGUAUUUAGUCGUAGACCCGAAACCAGGUGAUCUACCCUUGGUCAGGUUGAAGUUCAGGUAACACUGAAUGGAGGACCGAACCGACUUACGUUGAAAAGUGAGCGGAUGAACUGAGGGUAGCGGAGAAAUUCCAAUCGAACUUGGAGAUAGCUGGUUCUCUCCGAAAUAGCUUUAGGGCUAGCCUCAAGUGAUGAUUAUUGGAGGUAGAGCACUGUUUGGACGAGGGGCCCCUCUCGGGUUACCGAAUUCAGACAAACUCCGAAUGCCAAUUAAUUUAACUUGGGAGUCAGAACAUGGGUGAUAAGGUCCGUGUUCGAAAGGGAAACAGCCCAGACCACCAGCUAAGGUCCCAAAAUAUAUGUUAAGUGGAAAAGGAUGUGGCGUUGCCCAGACAACUAGGAUGUUGGCUUAGAAGCAGCCAUCAUUUAAAGAGUGCGUAAUAGCUCACUAGUCGAGUGACACUGCGCCGAAAAUGUACCGGGGCUAAACAUAUUACCGAAGCUGUGGAUUGUCCUUUGGACAAUGGUAGGAGAGCGUUCUAAGGGCGUUGAAGCAUGAUCGUAAGGACAUGUGGAGCGCUUAGAAGUGAGAAUGCCGGUGUGAGUAGCGAAAGACGGGUGAGAAUCCCGUCCACCGAUUGACUAAGGUUUCCAGAGGAAGGCUCGUCCGCUCUGGGUUAGUCGGGUCCUAAGCUGAGGCCGACAGGCGUAGGCGAUGGAUAACAGGUUGAUAUUCCUGUACCACCUAUAAUCGUUUUAAUCGAUGGGGGGACGCAGUAGGAUAGGCGAAGCGUGCGAUUGGAUUGCACGUCUAAGCAGUAAGGCUGAGUAUUAGGCAAAUCCGGUACUCGUUAAGGCUGAGCUGUGAUGGGGAGAAGACAUUGUGUCUUCGAGUCGUUGAUUUCACACUGCCGAGAAAAGCCUCUAGAUAGAAAAUAGGUGCCCGUACCGCAAACCGACACAGGUAGUCAAGAUGAGAAUUCUAAGGUGAGCGAGCGAACUCUCGUUAAGGAACUCGGCAAAAUGACCCCGUAACUUCGGGAGAAGGGGUGCUCUUUAGGGUUAACGCCCAGAAGAGCCGCAGUGAAUAGGCCCAAGCGACUGUUUAUCAAAAACACAGGUCUCUGCUAAACCGUAAGGUGAUGUAUAGGGGCUGACGCCUGCCCGGUGCUGGAAGGUUAAGAGGAGUGGUUAGCUUCUGCGAAGCUACGAAUCGAAGCCCCAGUAAACGGCGGCCGUAACUAUAACGGUCCUAAGGUAGCGAAAUUCCUUGUCGGGUAAGUUCCGACCCGCACGAAAGGCGUAACGAUUUGGGCACUGUCUCAACGAGAGACUCGGUGAAAUCAUAGUACCUGUGAAGAUGCAGGUUACCCGCGACAGGACGGAAAGACCCCGUGGAGCUUUACUGUAGCCUGAUAUUGAAAUUCGGCACAGCUUGUACAGGAUAGGUAGGAGCCUUUGAAACGUGAGCGCUAGCUUACGUGGAGGCGCUGGUGGGAUACUACCCUAGCUGUGUUGGCUUUCUAACCCGCACCACUUAUCGUGGUGGGAGACAGUGUCAGGCGGGCAGUUUGACUGGGGCGGUCGCCUCCUAAAAGGUAACGGAGGCGCUCAAAGGUUCCCUCAGAAUGGUUGGAAAUCAUUCAUAGAGUGUAAAGGCAUAAGGGAGCUUGACUGCGAGACCUACAAGUCGAGCAGGGUCGAAAGACGGACUUAGUGAUCCGGUGGUUCCGCAUGGAAGGGCCAUCGCUCAACGGAUAAAAGCUACCCCGGGGAUAACAGGCUUAUCUCCCCCAAGAGUUCACAUCGACGGGGAGGUUUGGCACCUCGAUGUCGGCUCAUCGCAUCCUGGGGCUGUAGUCGGUCCCAAGGGUUGGGCUGUUCGCCCAUUAAAGCGGUACGCGAGCUGGGUUCAGAACGUCGUGAGACAGUUCGGUCCCUAUCCGUCGUGGGCGUAGGAAAUUUGAGAGGAGCUGUCCUUAGUACGAGAGGACCGGGAUGGACAUACCUCUGGUGUACCAGUUGUCGUGCCAACGGCAUAGCUGGGUAGCUAUGUGUGGACGGGAUAAGUGCUGAAAGCAUCUAAGCAUGAAGCCCCCCUCAAGAUGAGAUUUCCCAACUUCGGUUAUAAGAUCCCUCAAAGAUGAUGAGGUUAAUAGGUUCGAGGUGGAAGCAUGGUGACAUGUGGAGCUGACGAAUACUAAUCGAUCGAAGACUUAAUCAAAUU
rnacentral:rRNA from 1 species